ensembl:lncRNA
GUUUGACACCCCUGAUCUACAAGGUCAAACCUACAGGUCUAGAAUUUCAUACAGCUGUGGUUGAUAAGAUGUAGAAGGUGGAGUUCAACAGGAGCAGCAUCAUUACUGUUAUUAGAUCCACCUGUGUGUUCCCUGCAAUGCCCAGGCAGCAAACACUUAACAGGUCCGGUGUGUUCCUGCACCAACAUCACUAAGACACAUUCCUAUGCACAUGAUGAUGCCGUGAUGUUAACCAGACGUCCAACCCAUCAUCUAAUAUUGUUACAAAUAGCCUCCCAAAUAAAUCACAUUUUCCCCAUUUGUGCCUCUGGAUCAUAUACAUGGAGCAUCUGUCUGUACAUAAGAAUGCAGAAAAUCUAAUUCCUCCAGUGUUUGCUGUGUCACAUGCUGCGUCUGGCCUCCUGCAUGUGGACCGUUUCAUUUUACCCCUGUGGGAAUUGAAAACAAUCACGUUACAGUGGAG